CCGUGCAGCCGGGGCAGUAGCGGCGCCCUGCACUCCAAAUCCGCUUUAGGGAGGGUGAUGGUGUUUCGAGGGCUUUUUACCUGUGUGGUUAGCCCUGCAUAAGCGAUGUUGAAAUUCGGGUCUUACGCAAUGCGUGCCUGUGAACCGUGUCAGGGUGGGAACACAGCAGCACUAAGCGGGAAUUCGUAUGUGCCGUGAGGGCGCCUGGGUGGAGUUGGCUGUGCAGCAAGCGCGCAUGGGUUCGGUUCGACAAACAUCGCACGG
rnacentral:SRP_RNA from 1 species